rnacentral:rRNA from 1 species
AACGAACGCUGGCGGCAUGCCUAACACAUGCAAGUCGAACGAAGCCUCCGGGCUUAGUGGCGCAUGGGUGUGGAACGCGUGGGAAUCUGCCGCUUGCUUCGGGAUAACAGUUAUAAAUGACGGCUAAUACCGGAUGAAGUCUGCGGACCAAAGAUUCGUCGUGAAGGGAUGAGCAGGAGUUGGUUUAGGUGGUUGGUGGGGUAAAGGCCUACGACGCCGAGGAUCGUUAGCUGGUCUGAGAGAAUGAUCAGCCACACUGAGAAUGGGAAACGGCCGAGAAUCCUACGGGAGGCGGCAGUGGGGGAUAUUGGACAAUGGACGCGAUUCUGAUCCAGCAAUGCCGCGUGAGUGAUGAAGGCCUUAGGGAUGUAAAGCUCUUUUACCAGCGAUGAUAAUGACGGUACCUGGAGAAUAAGCACCGGCUAACUCCGUG